CCUGACUGCUAUCGGAUUGAUACUAAGCCAUGCGAGUCAUUGUAGCAAUACAAGGCAUACGGCUCAGUAACGCGUAGUCAACCUACCCUAUGGACGGGGAUAACCUCGGGAAACUGAGAAUAAUACCCGAUAGAACAUUAUUCCUGGAAUGGUUUAUGUUUCAAAUAAUUUAUUGCCGUAGGAUGGGACUGCGGCCUAUCAGUUUGUUGGUGAGGUAAAGGCCCACCAAGACUAUUACAGGUACGGGCUCUGAGAGGAGUAGCCCGGAGAUGGGUACUGAGACACGGACCCAGGCCCUAUGGGGCGCAGCAGGCGAGAAAACUUUGCAAUGUGCGAAAGCACGACAAGGUUAAUCCGAGUGGUUUCUGCUAAAGGAACCUUUUGUUAGUCCUAAAAACACUAAUGAAUAAGGGGUGGGCAAGUUCUGGUGUCAGCCGCCGCGGUAAAACCAGCACCUCAAGUGGUCAGGAUGAUUAUUGGGCCUAAAGCAUCCGUAGCCUGCUUUGUCAGUUUUCGGUUAAAUCCAUACGCUCAACGUAUGGGCUGCCGGGAAUACUGCAAAGCUAGGGAGUGGGAGAGGUAGACGGUACUCGGUAGGAAGGGGUAAAAUCCUUAGAUCUAUUGAUGACCACCUGUGGCGAAGGCGGUCUACCAGAACACGUCCGACAGUGAGGGAUGAAAGCUGGGGGAGCAAACCGGAUUAGAUACCCGGGUAGUCCCAGCUGUAAACUAUGCAAACUCGGUGAUGCAUUGGCUUGAUGCCAAUGCAGUGCCGCAGGAAGCCGUUAAGUUUGCCGCCUGGGAAGUACGUACGCAAGUAUGAA
rnacentral:rRNA from 1 species